rnacentral:rRNA from 1 species
CAGCCGCCGCGGUAAUACGUAGGUGGCAAGCGUUGUCCGGAGUUAUUGGGCGUAAAGGGCUCGCAGGCGGUUUCUUAAGUCUGAUGUGAAAGCCCCCGGCUCAACCGGGGAGGGUCAUUGGAAACUGGGAAACUUGAGUGCAGAAGAGGAGAGUGGAAUUCCACGUGUAGCGGUGAAAUGCGUAGAGAUGUGGAGGAACACCAGUGGCGAAGGCGACUCUCUGGUCUGUAACUGACGCUGAGGAGCGAAAGCGUGGGGAGCGAACAGGAUUAGAGACCCCUGUAGUCCCUGUCUCUUAUAC